rnacentral:rRNA from 1 species
ACGGGUGAGUAACGCGUGGGAACGUGCCUUCCGGUUCGGAAUAACCCUGGGAAACUAGGGCUAAUACCGGAUACGCCCUUAUGGGGAAAGGUUUACUGCCGGAAGAUCGGCCCGCGUCUGAUUAGCUAGUUGGUGGGGUAACGGCCUACCAAGGCGAUGAUCAGUAGCUGGUCUGAGAGGAUGAUCAGCCACACUGGGACUGAGACACGGCCCAGACUCCUACGGGAGGCAGCAGUGGGGAAUAUUGGACAAUGGGCGCAAGCCUGAUCCAGCCAUACCGCGUGAGUGAUGAAGGCCUUAGGGUUGUAAAGCUCUUUUAUCCGGGGCGAUAAUGACGGUACCGGAGGAAUAAGCCCCGGCUAACUACGUGCCAGCAGCCGCGGUAAUACGAAGGGGGCUAGCGUUGCUCGGAAUCACUGGGCGUAAAGGGCGCGUAGGCGGCGUUUUAAGUCGGGGGUGAAAGCCUGUGGCUCAACCACAGAAUGGCCUUCGAUACUGGGACACUUGAGUAUGGUAGAGGUUGGUGGAACUGCGAGUGUAGAGGUGAAAUUCGUAGA